CCUGCGAAUUUGAAUUCCUCUUCCAAAGGCUACCAGUUCGUAUCUGCAGCUCCCAUUGUUCACCAGAAAAAAAAACAUCAGGCAAGUGACUCAAAGACAGGAGAUGGAAGCUGUUCAGCUCAUGUCGAGGACCCCGAAAAGACUUGCUGAGGACCCCAUCAAUGAAUGGUCCGGCGCUGUUUUAUGACAGUCCAUCCAUAGACCGCAACUUUCUUUCUAGUACUUGGCCUCCUACUGCAGCAACAACAAUGGAUGGAGACCCCUUAGUGUUUUCCCAUCAUCUUACACAGAUCAGCAGCAAACUGGUCGGAGUUAAAUGAUGACUCAUCUCAUUCUCAACCUGAUUCUGUUA
rnacentral:lncRNA from 1 species